UUUCAAGAAAGGCAGAUGAGGCCAGGAGUGGUGGCUAAUGCCUGUAAUCCCAGUGACUCUGAAGGCUGAGGUAGGAGGAUCACAAGUUCAAAGCCAGCCUCAGAAAUUAAGUGAGGCCCUACACAUCUUAGUAAGAUCCUGUCUCAAAGUGAAAACAAAACAAAACAAAACAAAACAAAAAAAGGAGGCUGGGGAUGUGGUUCAGUGGUUAAGCACCCCUGGGUUCAAUCCCCAGUACCCAAAAAAAAGAAUGCAGAUUAUAACAUCUAAAGAAACAGUACAUAAAUGAGGAAAGAAAAGUGUCCAGAGGAGGUUAUUCUCUAAUAACCUUCUGCAGAGGAUUUUCUUGGGUUGGUAAAAGCUAGAUUGUAGAAGAUCAGGGGGGUGAAUGAGAAAGUAAAUGAAGUAGAAACAUCUAGGCUGGGAAAGGAAGGAGCAAGACAGAGGAGGCAUGUGGGUAGAUAAAAGGGUCUGAGAGACUUUGGGAGCUUUAGAUAAGAAAGAAUUGAACAUUUUCUUUAUAUUGAGGAGAAUAGUCUAACUAGACAGGGAGGUUGAAGACAUAUGAGAUAUGAUUGAAAUCCUUGAAGAAUCCCUGGGAAGUCAACUAGGAUGGGAACGGUGGGAUCACAUGAAGAAAGAUGAAUCAACUUGGGAAAGAAGCUGGGCAUUAGAUAAAGUGAAAACAUUAAGGGAAGAGGUAAAGGUACUUUAUUUGCCAUUGACCUUUCUCUGACUUUGAAAUUUGAGGCAGACUCAUUGGGCAGAUUACCUGUGAAAGCUGAAAUUUUGUAAUCCUUGCUGAGGUGAAUAGAGGAGGGACUCACCAAAAAUCCCUAUUGCCUGUGGCACACAACUCUCAGGUACUCAGCUUAGAUUUGGUUUAAGGGCACUAAACUCUAAAAAUAAUGUUUAACUCAAGUAUUUUUUUAACCUGUGGGAGAAUGAUUCAACUUAAAUAUUCAAGACAUCUGUUGCUUAAAUAUUUGGUAGAAUGAAAUGUGACCAUUUCUCAAGAUUGUUAAUAUUCUUACUUGUUUCACAGUCCUCUAUGUUGAUAUUAAUUGUAAAAUACUUAGUUUUCAUAUGUAUGUUUUCUCAGUUUUUAAUAAUAUACAUUUAUCCUUUAAAGUUAAAAUUAAUUCAAUUUAUUUGAUUCAAUUUAUAAUAGCUGAUUGGUGUUGAGUUGCUGAGUGUUUUGCAUUGUCUCCUUUUGACCUGGAACCCACCAUGCAUCAGCUGUUGGUUACUGGAGUUGUACAACAGAUAGUAAGAGCUGCUCAGGAUUAUUUGCAGGAAAAAAGAAAUACUGAUGUAUGACAAUCCUGCCCACAAUUCUGUUCUUAAUUGCAAGAAUAUUAAAAGAUACAGCAAUAAAUUCUGCAGACAAUCAGGUUCCUCUACCCAUCAGUGCAACUUUUCAAGGCAUUAAAAUUAUUGUGACACUUCCAAUGGCCAAAACUGAGGAAACUCAAAAACAGUGGACAGCUCUAAUUCGUAGCACUUUUGCAUGUAUCCUGGAAUAUUCACAACCAGAAGAUUCUGUGCCCACACCUGAUGAAGUUAGCAUGCUGACAGCAAUUGCACUCUUCCUGUGGUCUGCUGUAGUGAAAUAAUAGGAGUCCAGUCAUUACAGAAUGCCUGCAUGAACAGAUUAAAAAGUGCAUUAAAUUCAAGUUACCCAUGGGUAAGCUACAAAUUGCCAAACUUCUAAACAAACAUUCCACUUUAUCAGGAGAAUAUCUGGUUGAUUUAUUAAAAUGUGUUAUAUAUAAGGAAAACCUAAGUAUUUACAGUAAGAGUUUUAAAUGGAAAAACUAGAAAAUAUCACUGGUUUAACUAUAGGAGAAACACAUUUGUAUGUUUACUUAAAUAUGCAGGAAUUCUCUAAUAUCUUUGAUUAGUUUUUGGCCAUAUUAGGAGGGACUUUUCAGGUUUUCCAAUAUUUAUUUAAAUGAUGUCCACUACACUAAUGGAUAAAUUUAUAUUAUUACAUAUUUUAAUAAGCCUAUUCGAAACUUGUUUGUUUAGAAAACAUGUUUUAUUAUUUUACAGUGUUGAAGCCUAAAGUUAUGAUUAUCAAAUAUUCUGCGUAUCAGGAAAAAUAAAACAACUUAGGAACAUUCCUGGCCUCCUAGCUCCCUGAAUCAGAGU